GUAAAACACGGAUCCUGUCCCUUCCCUGUAGAGUGGAGGUAAAAGUCGGAUCCUGUCCCCCUUCCCUGUAGAGUGGAGGUAAAACACGGAUCCUGUCCCUUCCCUGUAGAGUGGAGGUAAAACACGGAUCCUGACCCUUCCCUGUAGAGUGGAGGUAAAACACGGAUCCUGUCCCCCUUCCCUGUAGAGUGGAGGUAAAACACGGAUCCCCUCCCUUCCCUGUAGAGUGGAGGUAAAACACGGAUCCUGUCCCCCUUCCCUGUAGAGUGGAGGUAAAACACGGAUCCGGACCCUUCCCUGUUGAUUGGAGGUAAAACACGGAUCCUGUGCCCCUUCCCUGUAGAGUGGAGGUGAAACACGGAUCCUGUCCCCCUUCCCUGUAGAGUGGAGGUAAAACACGGAUCCGGACCCUUCCCUGUUGAGUGGAGGUAAAACACGGAUCCUGUCCCCCUUCCCUGUAGAGUGGAGGUAAAACACAGAUCCUGUCCCCCUUCCCUGUAGAGUGGAGGUAAGACUGACUCUCUUUCUGCUACGGAGUAUUAGCACUAUUCAGUCUUUCUUUCUUUUAUGUAAAGAGCCACUCUUCAGGCCUCUUACCCUUAUCCUGGGG
rnacentral:lncRNA from 1 species